GAGACACCCUUAUGGAGCAGGACUUGCUUCAGUGGGACUUUGGCACUCACUGAGUCUGCCCCCUGAGUGUGUCUCU
rnacentral:pre_miRNA from 1 species